rnacentral:tRNA from 1 species
GAUCAGCUAGUUUAAGUAGAAUGUUGGUUUUGUAAAUCAAAGAUGAUUGUAAUCGUUGAUCU